UAACAAGGUUUCCGUAGGUGAACCUGCGGAAGGAUCAUUAAUGAAUUCUGAAAGGGGUUGUAGCUGGCUGUUUCGUUUGAGCGGCAUGUGCACGCCCUGAUCAUUAUCCAUCUCACACACCUGUGCACAUACUGUAGGUCGGCUUUUGAUUGGAGUGGGGUCUUCAUCGACUCUGCUUUUUAGUUGGGGCCUUCCUAUGUUUUAUCACACACUACUUCAGUUUAAAGAAUGUCCUCUUGCGUCUAACGCAUUUAAAUACAACUUUCAGCAACGGAUCUCUUGGCUCUCGCAUCGAUGAAGAACGCAGCGAAAUGCGAUAAGUAAUGUGAAUUGCAGAAUUCAGUGAAUCAUCGAAUCUUUGAACGCACCUUGCGCUCCUUGGUAUUCCGAGGAGCAUGCCUGUUUGAGUGUCAUGGAAUUCUCAACUCUAUUUGCUUUUGUGAAUAGAGCUUGGACUUGGAGGUUUAUUGCCGGUACCUGUGAUCGGCUCCUCUUGAAUGCAUUAGCUCGAACCUUUUGUGGAUCAGCUUAUCGGUGUGAUAAAAUGUCUACGCCGUUACUGUGAAGCAUAUUAUUCGGCUUCCAAUCGUCCUUCACGGGACAAUAACUUUGACCUUGACCUCAAAUCAGG
rnacentral:rRNA from 1 species